UUAAUGAGAGUUUGAUCCUGGCUCAGGACGAACGCUGGCGGCGUGCCUAAUACAUGCAAGUAGAACGCUGAUGUUUGGUGUUUACACUAGACUGAUGAGUUGCGAACGGGUGAGUAACGCGUAGGUAACCUGCCUCAUAGCGGGGGAUAACUAUUGGAAACGAUAGCUAAUACCGCAUAAGAGUGAUUAACACAUGUUAGUUAUUUAAAAGGAGCAAUUGCUUCACUGUGAGAUGGACCUGCGUUGUAUUAGCUAGUUGGUGAGGUAAAGGCUCACCAAGGCGACGAUACAUAGCCGACCUGAGAGGGUGAUCGGCCACACUGGGACUGAGACACGGCCCAGACUCCUACGGGAGGCAGCAGUAGGGAAUCUUCGGCAAUGGACGGAAGUCUGACCGAGCAACGCCGCGUGAGUGAAGAAGGUUUUCGGAUCGUAAAGCUCUGUUGUUAGAGAAGAACGUUGGUAGGAGUGGAAAAUCUACCAAGUGACGGUAACUAACCAGAAAGGGACGGCUAACUACG
rnacentral:rRNA from 1 species